rnacentral:rRNA from 1 species
GUGGGGAAUAUUGGACAAUGGGCGCAAGCCUGAUCCAGCCAUACCGCGUGGGUGAAGAAGGCCUUCGGGUUGUAAAGCCCUUUUGUUGGGAAAGAAAUCCUGUCGGUUAAUACCUGGCGGGGAUGACGGUACCCAAAGAAUAAGCACCGGCUAACUUCGUGCCAGCAGCCGCGGUAAUACGAAGGGUGCAAGCGUUACUCGGAAUUACUGGGCGUACAGAGUGCGUAGGUGGUGGUUUAAGUCCGUUGUGAAAGCCCUGGGCUCAACCUGGGAAUUUCAGUGGAUACUGGAUCACUAGAGUGUGGUAGAGGGAUGCGGAAUUUCUGGUGUAGCAGUGAAAUGCGUAGAGAUCAGAAGGAACAGCCGUUGCGAAGGCGGCAUCCUGGGCCAACACUGACACUGAGGCACGAAAGCGUGGGGAGCAAACAGGAUUAGAUACCUUGUAGUCC